UUUUUUAAUUGCUGUUCCCAUAAUGGGCUAGGCUCUUAAAUUUACAGCUUCAUGCAAGUAUAGUCGACCCUUGAUAAACACAAUUUUGAACAGCAUAGGUCCCCUUAGACUUCCCUCUGCCUCUGCCACUGCUGAGAUGGCAACCCUUUCUCUUUCUCCUCCUCCUUGCCUGCUCAACCUGAAGAUCAUGAGGAGGAAGACCUUUAUGCUGAUCCACUUCCACUGAAUGAAUGAAGGGUGUCUGGAUCAUAUGUAUUCCAGAGUAAAGUCACGAUGGCUUUAUGACGUUCUGAGGUACGUUCCAAACAGGUGAGGUAUUGCACACUAGCAAACACAUGAUAAGAAGGUGGAGGAAUUGGGAGAAAAAUAAAAAGAAUGCAGCAGGCCAGGUUAGCGGGAACGUUAAGACGGUGACAGGGAACAGCAAAGCCUGGAAGCAAGCCGCCGUGGAGAAGGAAGAACUGUGCUGGGGUGAGUUGCUGUGACAACCCAGGCUGAUUUUGAGUAUGUAAACACCAAACCUUGUUCUUGGCUGCCGCUCAGCUCAGCCGGCUUUGGAGCCUGGCUGCCCAGUCACCACUUCAGGGAUGUGCUGUUUUUAGGGAGGGUGUGACCCUACAAGAUGUUUCUGAGCCUUAAUGCUUUUUUGUGGGAGCCAAUGUUUAAUAUGGUGGCUAGAGUUACCUGAAGAAUCUAUAAAAAAUGACCGAAGCCCCUUCUGCUCACCCUCCCACUCAUCAGAGUCGGCUUCUGUGGGUCUGAGUGGGAAGGACUUCCACUUUUAACAGCAUGAGACACGGUUCUGACAGCCCCACUAACAUCCGAAUGCAGGCUGCAGUGCUCAGUCCUGAGGAUAAAAUUCUCAGCUUGGAGAUUGGGGUUGAUGCCUUACCUUUAUUAGCACCAGAUGGGUUCGUAACAACCCAGAGGU